GGCGGCGCGACCGCCGACCCCGCCCACGGCCGCCACGCCUCCCUGGGGACGGACCCGGCGGGCGGAAGCCCAGCCCGCCCUCGGGGCCGCGCGUCAGUUUGGUCCAGUGUUCCUGGUCAAGCAACCGUCCUGAGACGCUGUCCUCCAAAUGGUUACCCAGGCUCUCUCUCCAUUGUGGUUCUCCACUCAGCCAGCAGAUGGGGAAAGAAAAAGGAAGAUCACUAGAGAAGAGGCAGGCUUGAAAGGGGAGACAUCGAUUUGGCCCACAUUCCAUUGGCUAGAACUCAGUCAUAUGGCCAAGGAGGCUGGAAAAUGUAGUGAGCUGUGUGCCCAGGAAAAAAAGGGAACACUGGCAAAUAUUUAACUAGUUUUUACCAGCUGCGAUGGGAGCUAAAUGUUUUCUGGCUUAUUUCCAAUGAAAAUAGAGUGCCUCAGUCCCUGUAUUCUAAGAAAGACACUGAGAUUCACCUAGAGUAACAGGCGUAUCCCUGAACAGACGAACUGACCAGAGGACUGCAAUGGGCUGAUGGCCUCAAGCCCACCAGAGUCCACCUCUUGAGCUAGAGGUGGGGUCGGCUUUCCCUGAAAUGUCCGGACUGCAUGGGAAAGAGAUUCACAGCAGCUAAAUGUACUCAGGCCUCUCCGAUUACCACUGUCUUUCCAAUUUGGGACUUGGCUGUCAUCAAUCCAGGGAAAGAUAUUCAGGAAACUUUCCCUUUAAGUUGUGGUCAUGAAGAUCUGGAAAGUGCAUAUCAGAUCUGCGCGUUUGACUGAGGAAUUCAGUGCUGGAGGACGGAAAGAAGCAGAAGGGCCAGGCUGUUCUUUUGUUGUUUAGUGAAUAUGGUAUCCGCCCCACAGUAAGACAUCAUUGCGGAGUGCUCUGAACCAGAGAGACUGGCUCUGUGUGCCCAGCUUGGCUGGUCGGGAAAGAGGACUGUGCUCUGGCGUGUUGAUUCAGUGCCCCUGGCAGAGACGCUGCAGUGUUUGUUCCCGGACAGAAUUUCCCAACACAUCUGAAGUCAGCUUGUAGAGCAACAAGAUGCUAUGAGCCUGCACCGUUAAUAAGUCACUUCUAAUGCGGUCUCUUGAAAGACUAUGUAAAUGGCAGAGGGUCGAAUGGGAAUAGAUAUCCUGCAUUACUGAUGUCAAGCAGGGAAUGAAAAUCUGAAGAUUCUGAACUCAUUGUAGUUAAUUAUAUGUUGAUGGGGUUGGGAUGUCGGAAUCACAGUUCUAGGGCUUCCCAACUUCUUUGCAACCUACUCUUUAAAAAUAUUAUCCUAAGGUCAACAUCAGGAUCAUACAGAGAUAACACUGUGUAAAAGUUUUCUUAACAUGUAUGAAAUUUAAAAUAUUUUAAUUACAUCAACUAAACCAGCAAACUGUGUAAUUGCAAAAUUUCUACCAUUGAUGUGAAAUAUAAUUGAUGGUUAACUUUUUUUUAAAUUGAAGUAUAGCUGAUUUACAAUGCUCUAUUAGUUUCAGGUGUAUAGCAAAGUGAUUCAGACAUAUAUAUAUUUUUUUUCUUUAUAUAUUCUUUUUCAGAUUCUUUUACCGUAUAGGUUAUUAUAAAAUAUUGGGUAGAGUUCCGUGUGCUAUACAGUAGGUCCCUACUGUAGGUAGGUUGGUUAUCUGUUUUAUAAACAGUAGUGUAUAUUUGUUAAUCCCAAACUCCUAAUUUAUCUCUCCCCCCACUUUCCCCUUUGGUAACCAUAAGUUUGUUUUCU